AGCGAACGCUGGCGGCAGGCCUAACACAUGCAAGUCGAACGAAGUCUUCGGACUUAGUGGCGGACGGGUGAGUAACACGUGGGAACGUGCCCUUUGGUACGGAAUAACUCAGGGAAACUUGAGCUAAUACCGUAUGUGCCCUUCGGGGGAAAGAUUUAUCGCCAUUGGAGCGGCCCGCGUCUGAUUAGCUAGUUGGUGGUGUAAUGGACCACCAAGGCGACGAUCAGUAGCUGGUCUGAGAGGAUGAUCAGCCACAUUGGGACUGAGACACGGCCCAAACUCCUACGGGAGGCAGCAGUGGGGAAUCUUGCGCAAUGGGCGAAAGCCUGACGCAGCCAUGCCGCGUGAAUGAUGAAGGUCUUAGGAUUGUAAAAUUCUUUCACCGGGGACGAUAAUGACGGUACCCGGAGAAGAAGCCCCGGCUAACUACGUGCCAGCCGCCGCGGUAAAAC
rnacentral:rRNA from 1 species